UACGUAGGGGGCAAGCGUUGUCCGGAUUUAUUGGGCGUAAAGAGCGUGUAGGCGGCCAGGUAGGUCCGCUGUGAAAACUCGAGGCUCAACCUCGAGAUGUCGGCGGAAACCAUCUGGCUAGAGUCCGGAAGAGGAGAGUGGAAUUCCUGGUGUAGCGAUGAAAUGCGCAGAUAUCAGGAAGAACACCCGUGGCGAAGGCGGCUCUCUGGGACGGUACUGACGCUGAGACGCGAAAGCGUGGGGAGCGAACAGG
rnacentral:rRNA from 1 species